rnacentral:rRNA from 1 species
CUUGGUCAUUUAGAGGAAGUAAAAGUCGUAACAAGGUUUCCGUAGGUGAACCUGCGGAAGGAUCAUUAUUGAUUGUAAACUGUUGCCUUCUGUGCUGGCUGGCUCUUGCAAGCAAGUGCACGUCGGUGACUUUCAUUCCAAUACCCUUGUGAACCCUUGGCCUCUUGCUAGCUUCACGGCUGGCAGAGGAUUUUCUACAUACACACUCGAAUGUAAUGAAACUCUUGUUGUGCACAAGCACUACUAAUACAACUUUCAACAACGGAUCUCUUGGCUCUCGCAUCGAUGAAGAACGCAGCGAAAUGCGAUAAGUAAUGUGAAUUGCAGAAUUCAGUGAAUCAUCGAAUCUUUGAACGCACCUUGCACCCUUUGGCAUUCUGAAGGGUAUGCUCGUUUGAGUGUCAUUGUACUCUCACACUUCCGAUCUUUGUAUUGGGAGCGGUGGACUUGGGUUUGCUGCUUCACCGCGGCUUACCUCAAAUACGGUAGUGCAACUCUUGGUUGGACAUAAUACGGCGUGAUAAGUGGUUCUUCGCCGGUGCCUCGCAAAGAGGGUGGCCGAUCGGGAGGUUGUGCUCCAAACCGUCUUCGGACAAUCUCUGACAACUUGACCUCAAAUCGAGUAGGACUACCCGCUGAACUUAAGCAUAUCAAUAAGCGGAGGA